AGGGGUUGGUAGGACCCAGGCCCCCUAAAAUUUCAUUUUAAAAAAAAUUACUUUUUGAUGUCGUUGCAUUGCAUCUCAUUAGUGAACAAGUGAUUGAUUUUUGUGAAUUGCAACAUUGCUCAAUAUAAUUCUGCUUUUUGUAUUUUUUAUAUUGUCCAUUGCGUACAUGUGUAGUUUGUAUAUACAUGUUUCGGAUGUGUAUCAAUUAUUUCUUGUUUCAAAGUUUUCUUUUAGAUAACUUAGUUCCAUGUGUACAUACUUAAUUGUCAGUUCUUCUAAUGCCUUGCUUAUUACAAUAAUCAUUGGAGGAAAAAUAUUCCUGUUCUAGCAAAAUCACAUAGGGUGUUACAUUUCAGUGUUGCCAUGACUCCUCUCAAGUGAUCGAAGAACUAGUUCAGAUUAUUCUACAUCCAGGACUUGAGCCUGGUGCUGUUGAUGUUUUUCUUGAGUUCAUAUGCUACUCGGAUGGUCCUCUGCCCGAGGAAUUACUUCUGCAGGUUAAAGUGAGUUUCUUAAACUGAUUUCUCGUAUGCCGUCUUCUUUUCCCUUCAGUUUCCAUGUUAGUUUAUAUUGCUUGUUCUCUCUUCUUGCAAUGUCUUGUCUUGAUAGCAUGGGGUGACAAGGAUCCAUAGGAAAGCAUUGAACUCGGAAGAGCCUACGGGGAUUUUGAUACCGUGGAAGACUUUGUCGUCCCCCCUAAUGUUGGCCACUGCCCUCAGGAUGAAGCUCCACAUCUUGUGAAUCCGCUUGUAGAAUCAUUCAUGUCUCGCCAUUCUAAUCUCUGGCUAAUGCUUCCACAACCAUUUGAACUGAUUGUGGAGCUUUUGUUGCUUCUCAUUUAUCCAUUAUAGACAUAUCACAGUGUUCCUUUGCAAAGGCUAUCGUAAGCUCCCACACUGUACAUAAUUUAUAUAGCAUGUAGAAAAGUAACCCAAAGUUCUCUUUAUGAAUUCCUUUUACAUGUACCAUAAUUUUGCAUUUCAAUGCCUGACCAAUUGUAUUCAAAUUCCUCGAUCAAAUAGUUAAGCAAAUUUUGUACAAGAUGAUUUUUUUUUAAA